rnacentral:snRNA from 1 species
AUACUUUUACCUGACAAGGGAGAGACCAGAGUCACGAAGGUGGUAUUCCAAGGGUGAGGCUUAUGCAUUGCACUCCGGAUGUGCUGACCCCUGUGAUUUCCCCAAAUGUGGGAAACUCGACUGCAUAAUUGUGAUAGUGAGGGACUGCAUUCAUGCUUUCCCCUG